rnacentral:ncRNA from 2 species
UAGUCUGAAAAUUCACUCGGUUCUAGCGGGGAGCAGCCGCUAGAGGUAACGGGGAAAGUUCGGUGUAAAUCCGUCGCUGUCCCGCAACUGUAAGGAGACAAAACCUGUCUCUAAAGUCAGAAUGCCCGCCGAAAUUUAGAUAACUUU